CAGGGAAUGUACAAAAUAGAAAACAACAAAACUUUGAACUGACAUUACACAUGAUAAAAUUUUACUAAAACAACAUUUUGGACUCAUAUUCAUAAACAACACAAUACUAAGAACAAACAUCAGAACACGUUCAGUCUUUUGCCACAAUACUAAAACAUUACAUCAAAAAUACCAAACCAAACUAAGAAUCUUCUCAAAUCAUCAGAACUUGUGGGGAGGGAGCAGCGUUCAGGACCCGAAUGUGAGAUACUACAUCUGCAAAUAGAAAACAAACAAAAUUUAUAAUAUGUAAUAUAAAUAACUUGGGCAGAUUGAUAAUAACAGAAAAACUAAAGAAAACAGACAGCAUAAAUUCACAAUAUUAGUAGCUUAACCAUGAAAGGCACAACUACCUGACUUGUAAGUGAUACCAUAAGUCGCUCCCAUGAUUACUACAAUUCUGAAGGACCCUCUGUACAUAAAAAAAAUCCAAAUUAAUAGCAAAGUCAGUUAUACAAGUGUUGUUAAUAGCAAAGUCAGUUAUACCUGUGGGUGAAUCACAUUCAUCAUCUACACUUGGAUCCUGAGUAGCAUCAACAUUUGAUUCUCCAAUUCUACAUUUUCACAAAUAGCAAAGUCAAAUUUAAACUAAUAGCAAAGUCAAUUGUAAACAAAUAGCAAAGUAGCAAUAAGUAAGAACAUUUACCGAUUAUUAAGCGCCGGACAUUUUCUUUACACCUAGACAAACAGAAAUUUACUUGAACUUGUGAAAUCACCGAUUAAAAAGAUAAUACAAUCAUACACAAACACCUAACAAGUCCCUAUAACAAAUGAUACAGGACAGUAACUCCAAUGUAUACCCAUUAUUGCCAUUGGGAAAUAAAAAAGGUUGACACUUGAAAAGAAAAAGAGAGAUAGACUUACAAAAUAAAGCUUGAAAAGACACACAUACCAACUACUUUACUAUCUUCUAGGAAGAAUUUAACCAGAGUAGUAAUGUGAGGAAUCGUAUGUAUUUCAUUGGACCAAAAAGGUAGCAGCAAAACCUUCAUUACCUAGUCAAGUGAAAAUUCAUUUUAAUCUAACAUAACAAAAUUGAAAUGCAUUAAGCUUGUCCCAAAUUCACAAUAAUAUUCCAAAAAAAGACACAACAUUGAGCAGUUUAAAAAAAAAUUAAAAAAAAAUUUGAGGGCAUUACUCUGACCUACAUUGAGGGCUUCAAAUUAAGGGUUCUAUUUACAACAAAAAAAUCAGAUCAAGUUCAGGGUUCUAUUAACAACAACAAAACCUAAAUUUAAAAAAAAAAACAGAAAUGAAGAAGAAGGUAAAAGGCUUUGAGGGCAUUACUCUGAGCUACACUGCGGGCUUCUCCAAUUUGUGAAGAAUUCGAUUUUCAAGGGUCACGAACUGAGGGGAUCAAGGGUCACGAACUGACGACUCUCGCUAAUCGAUUUUUAACAAUCGAUGUUCUGAAUCUAGGGCUUGUGAGAGCACUCUGGGCUUCGAUUUUCUAGAGGGGAUCAAGGGUUACGAACUGAGGGCUUCGACGUCGAUUUCUGUGGCAUGCUUCGAUUUGCAGAAGAUUUUUGAGAGGCGGGUAGUGUAGCGAGGAGAGCCUUAUCAACACAGCUUCUAGUUUGAGAGCUAGCGAGGAGAGAGAUUAAAAAAAAGCCGUGUUUUCAAAUUGGAAUGCUCUUUAAGGUUGGACUGCUCUUUAAGCAGGUUACUCUUGAACGGGGCCGNNN
rnacentral:lncRNA from 1 species